AUGUUGCAAGGAAAAGGUGGUCUCCCCACCUCCCGAAGAGUGGUCCCGCCAGCAGGGGAGGCUCACUUUCCCCUUCCGCAGCCUUCCGGUGGCACCUCCACCGAGCGUGGCGCAGACAGGGUGCUGGGGAGGCUCACUUUCCCCUUCCGCAGCCUUCCGGUGGCGCCUCCACCGAGCAUGGCGCAGAGAGGGUGCUGGGGAGGCUCACUUUCCCCUUCCGCAGCCUUCCGGUGGCGCCUCCACCGAGCGUGGCGCAGACAGGGUGCUUCCGCCGGAAAAAGGUCUUGGCGAGAGAAACUGGUUCCAUACCCUAAUGAACAUUUCCUCAAAUGGUUUUCUGAUUUUGCUUUGCUUAGUUGUCUGUAGUGCUAGGUUUGGGGUCCCAGAGUGGAAACAGUCUUUCCUGAGUCCUGACUAGCACUGACAUGGUUAAGAGGAAGAGAGGUGUUGGGGGCGUCUGUUAGAGGGUGGCAGUGCCCCUUCUCAUCCCUCAGCCCUUUCAGUUCAACCCGGGGAGGGAGAGGUGUCUUCAGAUGAGGACCCUGAGAUUCCAAAGGUUGUGGGAUUUGCCACAGUCAUCUCUCAGGUAAGGGCACAACUGCGACCAUCCCCUGCCUUCAAGGUCUGUGUUCUUUCCACCACGGCACGAUAGAACCCUGUCAUUGCGGCAAUAAUUGCUUUCCCUGGACUUGUUUUGAGACCCUCAGCUCCAUAAGGGAUGAACCCAGUAAUUAUUUCCACAGCACAGAGGUUGGUAACAAAAAUGGCGUGUGGAGUUGCAUGUCUUUCAUUCAGCACUAGAACGAAAAGGACAUUUCCCAUCACUAUGUUGAGAAAUACUGAGAUGCUGACAGCCUAGUGCCCAGUAGGCCGAAAUCCUGGUCUCUGUCUGAACGAGCCCUUGGAGUUCACCCGGACACAUGCUGGGCUAUCUCUGGGCACAAGCAGAAAAGAAGGAAGUAUUGAGGAUCACUCAGAUGUGUCGCUCCCAGGGCUGGAAGACCACCCAGCGCCGAAGCCACUGUUGAUAUGCCCUCCGCAGCAGCCUGGCUGCUGGAAAGAAAGCACCUAAUCUCGGGGCCACAGCCAGAACAGCUGCUUCCUCUUCUCAUUUUAAAAACGUAAUAGAAGGGGGUGUUCAGAGGCUGGGAGCAUUUCGGGAUGAUGUCCCCUCAGUGGCUCAUGUGCAUGUUUUCAAAUCCAUUAUUAGAGUAGAGAAAACUGAGAUACAGAGAAGUUAGUGUCUCUAACUUCUAGGGCUAGACGAUGACACCAGACCCACGGCUUUCCACUCCCCUUCAGUAUUUGAUCCACUACCUAAGGCUUCAGUGAAGUAUUUUGGUGAUACAUUUUUUAUUUUUAUUUUCUUCCAUUGAUGAUCUAUUUUAGAAGUGGCUUUUUUUUUUUUUUUUUUUGUAGCCCAACCCUAAUCUAUUUCUUUAUAGGUUAUGAAGCCAGGCACAGUGGCUUACGCCUGUAAACCUAGCACUUUGGGAGACCGAGGCAGGAGAAUCACUCUUGGCCAGGAGAUCAUCCUGGCCAACAUGGUGAAAUCCCAUCUCUAUUAAAAAUACAAAAAUUAGCCAAGCAUGUUGGCAUAAACCUGUGAUCCCAGCUACUUGGGAGGCUGAGGCAGGAGAAUCUGUUGAACCCAGGAGGUGGAGGUUGCAGUGAGCCAAGAUCAUGCCAGUUCACUCCAGCCUAGGCACCAGAGUGAGACUCCAUCUCAAAAAAACAAUUUUUAAUUAAAAAUAAAUAAAAUUAAAAUUAAAAAAAACUUAAACUAUAGGUUAUAAAUAUGACCUUUUUUUUUUUUAAUUCAGUGAGACGUGUAAUUGUGGUAUAGACCCACUUACUGGAAGAAUAAUGUCUUCUCUAUCUUCGUUAUUCGUUUUGGAUCUUGAUUAAUAUAGCUAUAUGUUCUUUUAAAAACAGCAUACAUUCCAUUUAAUCCAGGUAAUUCUUUCAUAGUUCUGAUUCAAUCCUCAUGCUAAUAAAGUUAGGACCAAAGGAUAGCAGAAAACACUGAAAAACCAAUGAUACAAAAACACAUCUUAUGAACACUGCUCUUCAAAUAUUAAUGUAAGAGUUGAGAGAAAUGCUCUAGCUUUUUUUGCUCCGUCAAGCUUUUGUUGCCAUCCCAUAAAUCAUUUCAUAUAAUAUAGUCUUCACACACUCACACAAAUAAUGAGAGAAAGGUGGCAAAUGUAAGGGAAAAAAAUAUGGUUUGGAGUUUCUAUUUGUUUGCUUUUGUUUUUGUUUUGAGACAGAGUCUCACUCUGUCUCAGUCUCAUUCUGUCUCUUAGAGUCUGCCCAGGCUGGAGUGCAGUGGCGAGGUCUCUGCUCAACCUCCACCUCCAAGGUUUAAUCCAUUCUCCUGCUUCAUUCUCCAGAGUAGCUGGAACUACAGGUACCUCCCACCACACCUGGCUAAUUUUUGUAUUUUUAGUAGAGGUGGGGUUUUACCAUGUUGGCCAGGCUGGUCUCAAACUCCUGACCUAAAAUGAUUCACCCACCUUGGCCUCACAGAGUGUUGGGAUUACAGAUGUGAGCCACCGCACCCGGCUUGGUUUGGAGUUUUUUUUAAAAGGUCAUAAAAUGUUGAAAAUUGGUAGUUGGGGUAAGUCUUAGAUUUUUGAAGAGCUGGUAACUGCCUUUAUUAUGUGACUUGAGAGACUGUAGGGAGAUUUCCCUGCUUGGAAUUCUGCCCUUAGAGAUUUGUAGGGGCCCCUUUCCAAAUGUAAGCACUGUGUUCAGGAAGGGUCUAUGUCAGAUGAGGUCAUGAGAUCCAUCCUUGGCAAGGCCCCAGCAGGAAGGUAUGGGGCUCCCCAAAGCAACACAGCAGAAAUCCAAGGGGCUCAAGAGAGAAGAGCUGGUGGGGGGAGUGUGUCCCCUUCAUGAUCUGGUUCCACCCUGACCUGGUUAGAAGGCUGUCUUCUUGUUCAAAGGAUAGUUUGUUUAUUUGGAAGAAGAUGGUUUAUUGCCUUUUUUUAAUAGCUGAAACUUUUAAUUCCAUCUCCUUGGUCCCAUUAGACCCUUGAAAUAAAAAUUGCCCCCUUUCAGAAGGGUCUGUCCUCAUUUUGGCAAAGCCUGGGUGGUCAGUUGUUUGACUGAAAAGAGGGUGUUGUUUGUGUCUCAGCGGGGUACAGGCAGCUGUGAGGAGCCCACUAUCCCCUCCUCGCAGGCCACCCCUCCCGUCGGAGGCCCCUCCCUACACACCGCAGGCACAGGGUCUUGGGUGCUGGCCUGAAAUGGGUCUGCUGAUUUACCACAUCGGUCCAGAUCUCAAUGCUCCAAAGCCCCUUGCUUUAUCCAGUUGCCAAAAAUCGGACAGUUCUGCUCCUGGCCCUGAGCCUUACAGAGCUGCUUAGCAUACAGCUGGGAGCAGCCAGUGCCUGCCUCUGAGCCUGCUCUGGGGGUGAAAUAAUAUCAUCUUGUGAGGCAGAGUGGUGUGAAAGAAAAUGGAAAGAGUAAAGGAAUCCUAGGAUUUGCAGGAACCCCACGGAGGAUGAGGACACUCAUUUUACAGAUGAGGGAGGGCAUCCUACUCCUGCUGAAGCCUCUUCCUUUUCUAAUCUCAAAGCUUCCAUGAAGCUGGAUUUCUUGUGCUGUCAUUUUCACCCGGCUGGUAACACACGUCAGGUUCUCAAAAAUGUCAAAUUGGGCUCCUGCCCUAACCAUUAUCGCCACUUCACAAGGCCAUUCUCCAUUUGAAGAAUAGGAAGAGAAGGGAGAAAAUUUUCCCAGAGAAAACACUGCGUCUGUGACACUAUUUAUUCGGCUUGGCUAUAAAGUGUGGAAAGUAAUGCAUGUUUAAAAGAAAAGAUGCGUAAUUUACAGCUUCUUAAUUCAUAAAGAAUUCAGUGAAUCAUGUUGGCCCUGUUGGAUUCUGGAGAAGUCUGAAAAUUGGCCAGAGUCAGCAAAGGUUUAGAGAAAGCUAUGCAUUUUAAUCUCCUUGAAAGUUUUGGACUCGUUACGUCCUUUAACUUUGAAAGUAUACAUAUGAAACACUGGUGUAUGGAAAUUUCCACUCUGUCUCGACCAGCUGAGGCUGUCCUGUGAAUGAAAGAAACCUCAGGGAUUGCCUCUAUUCCUAAAGCACCAUUUUUC